GGCGAAUAGUCUAGCAUGUAGUGUUAGGAAGCAACCGUCUUUCAUCGUUCAUAUGGAUCAAGAUCUCCCGGUUUGGUCACAGAGUCAGUUUGAAUAUGUAGUUGAUGACAAAAAAAAAAUUACGUAUUGUAUAAAAAAAAAGUAUGUAUAAGUAUUAAUUAUAUUAUAUAACUUGCAUAUAAUCAUACUACUAUGUUUUAAUUAAUCGUUUAUUUGUUUUAUUCGGUUUAUAUACCAAACCAUAUCCAUAUACCACAGUUUCUUAAAAAUAAAAUCCAUUUGCUAUAUUCGGUAUUACCAAAUCCAAUUCAUUUUCUCUAUUUCGGUUCGGUUCGGUUUUAAUUGGUUCGAUUUUACCAGAUUAAACACCUCUUUCUAACAUUUUUUUUGAGUCGUCUAUGUGUUUUCGAGUUUUUAAAUUUUUUUAUUGAGUCGUUUUAGGUAUUAGGUUUAUUUAGGGAAGGAUGUGUUGAAUUGGAUGCAAAGAAACAAAUAAAGAUG
rnacentral:lncRNA from 1 species